rnacentral:rRNA from 1 species
UACGUAGGGUGCGAGCGUUGUCCGGAAUUAUUGGGCGUAAAGGGCUCGUAGGCGGUUUGUUGCGUCGGAAGUGAAAACUCAGGGCUUAACCCUGAACCUGCUUCCGAUACGGGCAGACUAGAGGUAUGCAGGGGAGAACGGAAUUCCUGGUGUAGCGGUGAAAUUCGUAGAUAUCGGGAGGAACACCGGUGGCGAAGGCGGCGACCUGGGUCGACACUGACGCUGAGGCGCGAAAGCGUGGGGAGCAAACAGG